rnacentral:rRNA from 1 species
UACGAAGGGUGCAAGCGUUACUCGGAAUUACUGGGCGUAAAGCGUGCGUAGGUGGUUUGUUAAGUCUGAUGUGAAAGCCCUGGGCUCAACCUGGGAAUUGCAUUGGAUACUGGCAAGCUAGAGUGCGGUAGAGGAUGGCGGAAUUCCCGGUGUAGCAGUGAAAUGCGUAGAGAUCGGGAGGAACACCGGUGGCGAAGGCGGGUCUCUGGGCCGAUACUGACGCCGAGGAGCGAAAGCGUGGGAGCGAACAGG